CGCGGCCUAUCAGCUUGUUGGUGGGGUGAUGGCCUACCAAGGCGACGACGGGUAGCCGGCCUGAGAGGGUGUCCGGCCACACUGGGACUGAGAUACGGCCCAGACUCCUACGGGAGGCAGCAGUGGGGAAUAUUGCACAAUGGGCGCAAGCCUGAUGCAGCGACGCCGCGUGGGGGAUGACGGCCUUCGGGUUGUAAACCUCUUUCACCAUCGGCGAAGCCGGGAGCUUUUGUUUCUGGUGACGGUAGGUGGAGAAGAAGCACCGGCCAACUACGUGCCAGCAGCCGCGGUAAUACGUAGGGUGCGAGCGUUGUCCGGAAUUACUGGGCGUAAAGAGCUCGUAGGUGGUUUGUCGCGUUGUUCGUGAAAUCUCACGGCUUAACUGUGAGCGUGCGGGCGAUACGGGCAGACUGGAGUACUGCAGGGGAGACUGGAAUUCCUGGUGUAGCGGUGGAAUGCGCAGAUAUCAGGAGGAACACCGGUGGCGAAGGCGGGUCUCUGGGCAGUAACUGACGCUGAGGAGCGAAAGCGUGGGGAGCGAACAGGAUUAGAUACCCUGGUAGUCCACGCCGUAAACGGUGGGUACUAGGUGUGGGUUUCCUUCCUUGGGAUCCGUGCCGUAGCUAACGCAUUAAGUACCCCGCCUGGGGAGUACGG
rnacentral:rRNA from 1 species